rnacentral:rRNA from 1 species
GAUGAACGCUGGCGGCGUGCCUAAUACAUGCAAGUCGAGCGAACAGACGAGGAGCUUGCUCCUCUGACGUUAGCGGCGGACGGGUGAGUAACACGUGGAUAACCUACCUAUAAGACUGGGAUAACUUCGGGAAACCGGAGCUAAUACCGGAUAAUAUAUUGAACCGCAUGGUUCAAUAGUGAAAGACGGUUUUGCUGUCACUUAUAGAUGGAUCCGCGCCGCAUUAGCUAGUUGGUAAGGUAACGGCUUACCAAGGCUACGAUGCGUAGCCGACCUGAGAGAGUGAUCGGCCACACUGGAACUGAGACACGGUCCAGACUCCUACGGGAGGCAGAAGUAGGGAAUAUUCCGCAAUGGGCGAACGCCUGACGGAGCAACGCCGCGUGAGUGAUGAAGGUCUUCGGAUCGUAACACUCUGUUAUUAGGGAAGAAAAAAUGUGUAAGUAACUCUGCACGUCUUGACGGUCCCUAAUCAGAAAGCCACGGCUAACUACGUG